rnacentral:tRNA from 1 species
GCCUGGGUGGCUCAGUCAGUUGAGUGUCUGACUUCAGCUCAGGUCAUGAUCUCAUGGUCCGUGGGUUCGAGCCCCACGUCAGGCU